rnacentral:lncRNA from 1 species
GGAGCUCACUGGCUUUGGGUUCCGUAGGAACUCCGAAGUUAAGCGAGAAGGAGGCCAGAGCACUCCCAGGAUGGGUGACCCACUGGGAAGUUGCUCGUGAGUUCCCAAAAACAAAACCGUGAGAGAUUGGUAAGCCCAAAGCGGACAAUAUCGUGCUACGGUGGUGGAGCGGGCCCGGGAAGUGAUCCACCCCGGGUCGGGAUGUGACAGCGUAUACUAUAGUUAUCAUACUGAAC